AAUACAUGCCAAGUCGAGCGGACAGAUGGGAGCUUGCUCCCUGAUGUUAGCGGCGGACGGGUGAGUAACACGUGGGUAACCUGCCUGUAAGACUGGGAUAACUCCGGGAAACCGGGGCUAAUACCGGAUGCUUGAUUGAACCGCAUGGUUCAAUUAUAAAAGGUGGCUUUUAGCUACCACUUACAGAUGGACCCGCGGCGCAUUAGCUAGUUGGUGAGGUAACGGCUCACCAAGGCAACGAUGCGUAGCCGACCUGAGAGGGUGAUCGGCCACACUGGGACUGAGACACGGCCCAGACUCCUACGGGAGGCAGCAGUAGGGAAUCUUCCGCAAUGGACGAAAGUCUGACGGAGCAACGCCGCGUGAGUGAUGAAGGUUUUCGGAUCGUAAAACUCUGUUGUUAGGGAAGAACAAGUACCGUUCGAAUAGGGCGGUACCUUGACGGUACCUAACCAGAAAGCCACGGCUAACUACGUGCCAGCAGCCGCGGUAAUACGUAGGUGGCAAGCGUUGUCCGGAAUUAUUGGGCGUAAAGCGCGCGCAGGCGGUUUCUUAAGUCUGAUGUGAAAGCCCCCGGCUCAACCGGGGAGGGUCAUUGGAAACUGGGGAACUUGAGUGCAGAAGAGGAGAGUGGAAUUCCACGUGUAGCGGUGAAAUGCGUAGAGAUGUGGAGGAACACCAGUGGCGAAGGCGACUCUCUGGUCUGUAACUGACGCUGAGGCGCGAAAGCGUGGGGAGCGAACAGGAUUAGAUACCUGGGGUAGUCC
rnacentral:rRNA from 1 species